ACCGAUGAUGGCGACUAUCAGGUAAAACUCCGCAGCCUGGUUCGCUUUCUGGAAGACGGAGACAAAGCCAAAAUCACCCUGCGUUUCCGUGGGCGUGAAAUGGCACACCAACAGAUUGGUAUGGAAGUGCUUAACCGCGUCCGUGACGAUCUGAGUGAACUGGCAGUGGUCGAAUCCUUCCCAACGAAGAUCGAAGGCCGCCAGAUGAUCAUGGUGCUUGCUCCGAAGAAGAAACAGUAAGGCCAUCAAGUAACAUACCGCGGGGCCUCGGCCUCGCGGGUUUUGUUCGCCUACUGGUUCGUUUUAUUAACAAUGCGAAGUGGAAAUUGAAAUGCCAA
rnacentral:misc_RNA from 1 species